UUGCCCUAUCCUAUCAAUGCGAUUAUUUGUCUACAGAUGUAUUCUUAAACUACGUUCCGUAUUCCAUAGGGAGAAACUUUUGUCCUCCUACAGUCCACUUUGGAGCCUAUAAAUGAACGGUGUGGAUGUCUGGAAGGAGGACGCACCUGUAGGGAUUGCAGUUGGAAACUGUUCCCAUCAUUGCUUCAGAUCCUCAUGGCACGUGCACCUGCUCUGCCUAGGAUUGAUUGGCACGAGUGAUAUGACUGGAUGGAUGAGUAUGACCAUCCAUCCUCAUGCACACUGCUUGUGUAGUAGGGAAUAAAAUAGCACGAUCUAAGCCAUCAGAAUCAUGCGAUCCAUCGUGAAGAUUGACAGUCGAGAAAAUUUCACUGAGAAGAUGACUUAACUGCCUACCAGGUGCCUGCAAAAAUGAACGGAUGAAAUGACAAAUCAACGCUUCAAAUUCAACAGGCAAUUGUCCAUUAAUCAGAUCUCAAGAUCAUCCAAGCAAUCUGAUAUCUGGUUAUACCCAGUCUGGGUUAAUGUAUGCCACGUUUUGUGUGCAUGUGUAUGAUUGCUGAUAACUUACCAGAGCCCCACUUAUUUAUUUAUAUUUUUCUCAAGGCAGAGACAGAGAGGCAACACAGCAGAAGGAGAAGAAAAAGGAGUGAACCAAAGAGAGGAAGAGAGAAAAUGUAGAAAAUACUGAUUGAAGUUAUUUAUGCCAUCAAGCCGUUAGGUACGCAGAGGAAGGCUCAACAUCUGUAGAUGUUUAUGAUGUGGCAGUUCGCACUCUACAAAGGUCUUUGGAAGAGGUUCUGGCUGCAAAAAGAAAUGCUGCAAUGGAUGCACAGUUUCCCAAUCCACUGAGUGGCAGUAUUCUGGAUGACAAUCUAGAUGGAGGGAAUCAAACUGAUCAUUCUACUAAUCAAAUAACCUUGCUUAAUCAAUGCACAAGCUCAAGAGAAUGCCCUGCUAGUUGUAGAAUGCCACACAUUUUGGAGAAACACCCAAACGGGAGAAGAAUGGGUACCAUUUAUGGGGUGAAUGGUCAUGAUGACUCUGGUUGCUCCACAUUGAGGAUUAGCUCUGACACUGAAAUUCUGAGUGCUCGCUUUGAUAUGCAUGAUCCUCCUCCUGCCUUAGAGUUUUGGAAUAUGCGAUGGCCUGAGAAUAGCAGCCAUCCAAACAUUCAUAGAUUGACAUAGUUGGGGAUAUGAUUUGAUAAAACUGUCUUUUAUAGUUCAUGCAAAGAGAGAGAGCCUUGGGACUACAUGCAGAGGGAGAAGAGAAGGUGCGGGCUACACGCAGGAAAGUGGUAGAAAGGGUGUGUAGUACUCACAUGAAAAAAAGGCAGGAAUGCCUUCCCUACCGCUCAUUGAUGGGGAGUGGGUAAAAUCUGAUCCAUUUAUUCAUAAGCAGGUAGACUUUUAAAACCACCCCUAAUGAUUGUGGGAAGUCUCUUCUAAUGUUCUAUUAAAUCUCAAAGUUUACAACGUCCCUAGGCAAAAUUAUCUAUUUGCUACUGGGGUUAUGUAUAGUAGAGAUUUCUUCCAAAUGUAAGUUCAU